rnacentral:rRNA from 1 species
AAGCGCUUGCAGCCAGACUUGCCUGCGGUUGCUCAUCCGGGCUCUUGCCCGGUGCACUCUUCCGUAGGCAGGCCAGCAUCAGUUUGGGCGGCCGGACAAAGGCCUCUUACACGUACCUCCCUUCGGGGAGGACUUAUAGGAGAGGCGACAUGCGGCCAGCCUGGACUGAGGUCCGCGCUCCGGCUAGGAUGCUGGCGUAAUGGCUGUAAGCGG